AUUGAACGCUGGCGGCAGGCCUAACACAUGCAAGUCGAACGAGUGGCGGACGGGUGAGUAAUGUCUGGGAAACUGCCCGAUGGAGGGGGAUAACUACUGGAAACGGUAGCUAAUACCGCAUACCAUCGGAUGUGCCCAGAUGGGAUUAGCUAGUAGGUGGGGUAACGGCUCACCUAGUAGACGAUCCCUAGCUGUUCUGAGAGGAUGACAUGCCCAACGGGAACGAGGACACGGUCCAGACUCCUACGGGAGGCAUCAGUGGGGAAUAUGGCACAAUGGGCGCAAGCCUGAUGCAGCCAUGCCGCGUGUAGGAAGAAGGCCUUCGGGUUGUAAAGUACUUUCAGCGAGGAGGCGUUACUCGCAGAAGAAGCACCGGCUAACUCCGUGCCAGCCGCCGCGGUAAUGC
rnacentral:rRNA from 1 species